UGUAUUCUGGCGAGGCAAACAGAAGAAUCGUUAUCCUUAAAACUUUACAAAGAUUAUACAAAAUCGAUUUCAGGAAGUGCAAAACAGUUAAGGAUACCUUGAGAGCACUGACUAGAUCGGUGCAAUUGUCUUCAUUAAGGGAUUUACAGGAAAACCAAGCGAAGUGAGCAAAAUUAUAAUUGAAAAAAAUUAGGGAGAAACAGAGAUCUGACACGAUAUAAAAAACACAUAGCAAUUGAAGAAUCUGAGUCGAAACACAUCGUUCAGUGCUGUAAGAGAAAGAAAUCAAAUUGGAGAGAGAGAAAAGGUAGAGAAGAACUCACCGAUUGAAGGGAGAACGAGAAGAAGAAGCCUGUGAGGAAAAGGUACCAAUGAAUAGAAUCGAUACCUAUCAACAAAAUCAUAAUCAAACUCUUAUUAGGCUAUACAUAUACAAAAUUAAUUAACAUUAAACUCAUAGAAACAGAAGAAGAAGAAAAAACUAAUUAUUACCUUUGUUCGGCGUUCUUCAAAUUAGAGUUCCGAGAUCGUCAAAUAAAUAACAAACAUCACAUCACUAAUCGCAGAACAUACUUGCGCUUUGUAGACAAGCGGUUCUGUGGUGGAGCGAAGGUUGAAGCAAGUUCCAUGGUGGAGUAGCAGAACCAUGUUUCGUGCUGGAAUAGUAGAAGCACGUUUCGUGUUGAAGCAGUAAAAGCAAAGGUCUAGUGGUGUGCGAUGGGAGUGAGAUGCGAGUUAGACAAAAAUGAGAGUGAAGAAAAGAGAAGAUGGAAAUGAAAGGCAGGUUUAGGUCUACUGGAAGUGAAGAGGAAAGGAAAAAAAAUAAAAAAAGAAAGAAUUUGAAA
rnacentral:lncRNA from 1 species